rnacentral:rRNA from 1 species
GACGAACGCUGGCGGCGUGCUUAACACAUGCAAGUCGAGCGAUGAAGCUCCUUCGGGAAUGGAUUAGCGGCGGACGGGUGAGUAACACGUGGGUAACCUGCCUCAUAGAGGGGAAUAGCCUUUCGAAAGGAAGAUUAAUACCGCAUAAGAUUGUAGUUUCGCAUGAAACAGCAAUUAAAGGAGUAAUCCGCUAUGAGAUGGACCCGCGUCGCAUUAGCUAGUUGGUGAGGUAACGGCUCACCAAGGCGACGAUGCGUAGCCGACCUGAGAGGGUGAUCGGCCACAUUGGGACUGAGACACGGCCCAGACUCCUACGGGAGGCAGCAGUGGGGAAUAUUGCACAAUGGGGGAAACCCUGAUGCAGCAACGCCGCGUGAGUGAUGACGGUCUUCGGAUUGUAAAGCUCUGUCUUCAGGGACGAUAAUGACGGUACCUGAGGAGGAAGCCACGGCUAACUACGUGCCAGCAGCCGCUGUAACAC